ensembl:lncRNA novel transcript
CUCUCCCAGGUGCGCUUCCCUGCUUGAUCUGUGUACCCUGCUCUUUCUCCUUCAUUCCGCAGCCUCCUUUGCCCUGUGACCUGCAGGUACUGGACGGUCCCUAGAGAGGAUACCGGGACGCUCCUGAAGCCGCGAGAUGAUUUCAAGCAGAUGCAGCCUGACCAUUAGGGCCAAGGCCAAAUUGCAAAAAAAAAAAGAAGUUUGCCUUUAUUCUACUCCAUCCACAUCUAAACUUUGGAGGUCAAGGCUGUGGACAGAUCAGAAGACAUAGUUCCCUCCUUCUGGGGCUCCACAUCCUUCAUUCACUGAUCUCUGGGAAGGAGGAUGGGUGGCAGGAUGGGUCUUCCAUGAUACUGAAGGGAGAGCCACAUGUUGAUGCCCAGGACCAGCUGCCUCCUUGGUCUGAAAGGCCUGAUCGAGGCCAGGAUUGGCUAUGAGAGCUGGGAAAUGGGACCAUCUUUGAAGCCAUGGGAGAGGGUGAGAGCCACCAUCACUCAUGUUCUUGAAUGGGAACUGCCUGGAGACCCUGAAGAAGAAGGAGCCUGAAGGAGGAAGGAGGAGGCUGAGCCAUCCCGGGAACAUGGGCUGGAUGAGGCCAAGCCAGGAGACGACACCACCAGAUAGAAGUCACCAUUCAGGAUUUGGACUUUUCUGUGGAGAUCCUGGCCCCGAGAUCGAACCCUUCUCCCUGUGGGUGUUCCCGCAGGAGAUGGUGCUGGAGAUCCACCAGCUGUUCAUGGACCAUGAAUACCCAUGUCACCACAUCACUUCUCACUGCACCUGGGUGGCAGCACACUGGACCACGUCUCAGAGCUGCGCAGCAUGGCAGGGCUGCAGGCGGGCUUGCUGCUCCACGUGGUGGAAGAGCCCUGCACAAUGCACAAGGCCCACGGUGAUGAGUGCCACAUUUGAGACUGCUCAGGAGCCUGGACCCAGCUGAUGCAGCUCCUUGUCCUUCCUGAGCGUCUUCACUGACAGUGGCCUGAGAGCCCCUGAAAGUGCUCACCGUGAGCGGCUGGUACCUGUCCCCUGGGAACUGCAAGAUGCACAGGACCUUGUGUACCUGUUUGUGAUCACAGCCGAGGACCAGCGAGGUAGCAUUACCACAUCCACACAGGGCUUUUACCAUAACUGCCCCAGUACUGGAACGAGGAGCUGCAGAUGAUGAGGGACCUACCCAACAAGAACCAACCUGAGCAGCUGCUUCAAGAAAAAGCCAUGUUCAAGGUGCCUGAAUCCCCUGGUAAGUGAGUGACAGCCUCACAGCCUCAGGCCCACCUGGCUCCUGCUGGAAGGUUUUCUUGUGCUCGGGAGAGAAGUGAGGGAAGCCGGCAGUCCCAGCCCUGUCAGGUGCCCUGAAGGCCCGUCAGGUUUGCCCUGCAAGGCCUUCUAGCAUUCUGCUUCCUGGGAGACCAUCCCCCACCUUUCUCCGGCCUCUGAGACUUUGAGUCCUUGGGAGGAGAAGGCCCUCCUUGCUAUCUGGGCUGAGUGGCCAGGGCCAUCCAGCUUCCCACCCUCCACUGACUGCCAUGGGGCCCUCCCCUGAGCACAUGGUGCCCAACUGUAGCCCUUCUAGGGCAGGGGCUCAUUGGCAGCACUUGCAGCUUGCUGGCACUUAAAAGUCAUUAGUGCGGUUACUGAGAGAAAUGAGGAAAAAAUAAUUGUUAAAAAAAAAAAAAAA